rnacentral:rRNA from 1 species
UGGGGAAUAUUGGACAAUGGGCGAAAGCCUGAUCCAGCCAUGCCGCGUGUGUGAAGAAGGUCUUCGGAUUGUAAAGCACUUUAAGUUGGGAGGAAGGGCAUUAACCUAAUACGUUAGUGUUUUGACGUUACCGACAGAAUAAGCACCGGCUAACUCUGUGCCAGCAGCCGCGGUAAUACAGAGGGUGCAAGCGUUAAUCGGAAUUACUGGGCGUAAAGCGCGCGUAGGUGGUUUGUUAAGUUGGAUGUGAAAUCCCCGGGCUCAACCUGGGAACUGCAUUCAAAACUGACUGACUAGAGUAUGGUAGAGGGUGGUGGAAUUUCCUGUGUAGCGGUGAAAUGCGUAGAUAUAUGAAGGAACACCAGUGGCGAAGGCGACCACCUGGACUAAUACUGACACUGAGGUGCGAAAGCGUGGGGAGCAAACA